AUUAACUCUCUCUCUCUCUCUCUGUCACUUUAUUGUUCGGAUGAAUUUUAGUUCCUUAUGCAACAAACUUACAAGAAUGUACAACCAUUAAAAAUAAGCAUUUUAGGAAGAGCUAUUCUAUUUCCAUAAUCAGGAAACUUUUAUCUGAUGUUUCUGUUUUCUUUUUCCUCAAGAAAAUGUUAAAGGCUUCUUCCUCAAAAUGGAGGGCAGCAGCAGAAAGCAGGAUCAUGAACAGCAUGCUGCCUUGUAUGGGAGUCCAGAUUUGGGAUCUUGUAAACAGAGAGGGGAAGUUUCAGCAUCAUCCAGUGUUACAACAUCAAAUCAUGAAUUUUUUAAAUCUGAUUGGGAGAUUAUCUAGAUAAAUCUUCCAAUGGUGAGUUUGGCAUGUCAAGUAGUUUCCUUAUCCCAAGCAGGUAAACAAAGACAACGAAGAUUUUUUUUUUCAGAUACUUUGAAGCAAUGAGGCCAUCACAUAACUGAUCAAUGUGGAGGGGUAGUGAACAAAAUACUUUUGAAGCUGAGGAAAUCUGUUGAAGUUGAGCAGUGGAACCCUUAUUUUUUUUUGGGGUAUAGUUUGAGGCAGGAUGUUGAUUUUCUUGUGUUCCUCAUGCAUUUUUGGAAUUAGAAUUCCUUUUGAUGGAGAAAUCAGAAAGAUCAUUCAAAUAGAUGAUGCAAAAUAGCACUCCCAGUCCCACCACACUCAAGCCUAAAUAAACAGAUAAGAAAUCAAUUGAGUUUUUCUGAAGUAUGUGGGAUCAAUUAGAUGCAUGAUUAAAUACUGGUUAUG
rnacentral:misc_RNA from 1 species